GAUGAACGCUGGCGGCAGGCUUAACACAUGCAAGUCGAACGAGAUCUUCGGAUCUAGCGGCAGACGGGUGAGGAACACGUGGGAACAUCCCUUUCAGUUCGGAAUAACGUUGGGAAACUAACGCUAAUACCGGAUACGUCCUUCGGGAGAAAGGUUUAUCGCUGAAAGAUUGGCCCGCGUCUGAUUAGCUUGUUGGUGAGGUAAUGGCUCACCAAGGCUACGAUCAGUAGCUGAUCUGAGAGGAUGAUCAGCCACAUUGGGACUGAGACACGGCCCAAACGCCUACGGGAGGCAGCAGUGGGGAAUAUUGGACAAUGGGCGCAAGCCUGAUCCAGCCAUGCCGCGUGGGUGAUGAAGGCCUUCGGGUUGUAAAGCUCUUUUAUCCGGGAAGAUAAUGACUGUACCGGAAGAAUAAGCCCCGGCAAACUUCGUGCCAGCAGCCGCAGUAA
rnacentral:rRNA from 1 species